GCUUAGCCCUAAACACAGAUAAUUACAUAAACAAAUUAUUUGCCAGAGUACUACCAGCAACAGCUUAAAAACUCAAAGGGACUUGGCGGUGCUUUUAUAUCCUUC
rnacentral:rRNA from 1 species